rnacentral:rRNA from 1 species
AGAUAGCCAGUGGAACUUAGACGUAUGGGAAAACUAGCUAUAGGGGGUUCCAUCCUACAGUGCUAGCAGGACUUAUCAGGAAGGUGAACUAUGUAACCGGGGCAGAGGACCGGGAUUAGAUACCCCGUUACUCCCGGUGUUAAGUAUAGCGGCUAUUUUUAGAGCCAUGUAUGCGCUUGCCGGGCAACUACGUCUUAACAGGUAAAAGUCGAAGUACUUGGCGGUCUAGAGAUGAACCAGCCCGUGAGACUUGACGGUUAAUCCGAUGAUCCGCGUAAAUUCUACUCUUUCUUGUAUUCUCAGUUGGUGUAUGGCCGUUUAGUGCUGUCUGGAAGGAAGUUGCGCCAAGCCACUACUCGUACAUGUGUUGGUAUGAGUUUAAGAUGGAGCACAUCAGGUCGUCAUGCUGCCUAUGAAGGAGGCUUAGUUGAGUCACAUUGAUUAGAUCAAGCGGAACCAAGAAGGAAGUAGCUUGGGGAAGAAGUAAUGGGUAGUAAGAAGAGAAUAAUUCGCUUUUCUGAAUCGUGAACUCCUAGGUGUACAAAUC